rnacentral:tRNA from 2 species
GCGCCUAUAGCUCAGGGGAUAGAGCGUUGGUCUCCGGAACCAAGCGCCCAGGUUCGAAUCCUGGUAGGCGCG